CUGUAAUGAAAUCAACUGCAUCAUCGGUUAUUGUAAAAUAUUAACAAAGACAAGAUUGAUUUUAAAGGGAAAAAAGAGGCUAAACCAGUUCAGGCACAUUCUGCAUUCCUUCAUGCGUCACAAAAGCUGUUUGAUAUAUUUCCUGAUGGAUUCUGCUGUUCUCUGCUCUGAUUAUUAUAAAAUCUGAUGUUUUAGUAGCCGUCUUCUCCGAGGAUGUAAAUGAAACAAAGCAAAUCUGAUGUAGGAGUUAAAAUAGGAAUAAAUAUUUCCAGAUCUGGAUCUGGACACUGCAGAAUUCGAGCUGAAAGCAUUCACUUGAGAAUGAAUUAAUGUUCUCUGAAACCUCAACAUAAGAAAAAUAAGACUUUAUGCCAGUAAUAUGACAAGAAAACUAAACGUAGCUGAAGAAAAAGAAAAGAAGACAGAUGAAGCCAAACCUGUGCAGAAGAAAAAAACAAUGAAUAGAGGAAAAGAAAAUGUCUGUGGAUUCAGAAAACAUCGAAAUCUGCAGCAUAAAAACAGCCUCAACAAAUAUCGACCAAAGUUCUCUGUUGAUCCAGAUGGACCUGCACAGCGUCGCUCUGGUGAAGAGAAAUUCAGAGAUGAGAAAGCAGCAGUUUUUCUCUUCUAACCGGCAGAAUGUUCUUCAUCACUUUCAGUCAAUGAUUCAGAAUGAGACUGGAACACAAAACACUGAUAUUUUCCUCUGAAAACACUCUGUUUUUAAGUGUUCAUGACUAUCACUGUACUGUACUGUGUUAAACUGAUUUAAUUCAGUGUACUCAGGCAGACGAUGUUAAAGAAGAAACACUGAGAUCACAUUUUCAUUCUCUUUAAGCUGGUAGAUCAUGGCAGCAGUUGCACAAACUGUCUAGAGUUUUACCAGUUCUGUGACUUCAGGCACUUUAUUCUGACAUCUUUAAAUGUGUCAUUACUAUACUUCAGUUUAUGAGCUAUUUUUAUCCAUCGGGUGUCGAGUGUCUCGUUCAUGAUCUCUGUUUUUGAGCUGCAUGAAGCACAUGAUCAGCAGGGAUUCAUGUCUGUAUUAUUUGAUUCUGUUGAACUCUUUGUGAAGGUCAUGUAAGUGUAUUUACUACAUUACACUGUGUGUUUAUACCUGAAAGUGUUCUCAGUCACAAAUGUAUUCUUAAAUGUCUAAAUGCUCAUGUUUUUUUGCUUUGCUCAAUAAACACUUAAUUUAGCUCA